rnacentral:rRNA from 1 species
UCGGAUUGUAGUCUGNAACCCGACUACAUGAAGCUGGAAUCGCUAGUAAUCGCGGAUCAGAAUGCCGCGGUGAAUACGUUCCCGGGUCUUGUACACACCGCCCGUCACACCAUGGGAGUCGGAAAUACCCGAAGUCUGUGACCUAACCGUAAGGAAGGAGCAGCCGAAGGCAGGUCGGAUGACUGGGGUGAAGUCGUAACAAGGUAUC